UACGUAGGGUGCGAGCGUUGUCCGGAAUUAUUGGGCGUAAAGAGCUCGUAGGCGGUUUGUCGCGUCGACUGUGAAAACCCGAGGCUUGACCUCGGGCCUGCAGUCGAUACGGGCAGACUAGAGUUCGGUAGGGGAGACUGGAAUUCCUGGUGUAGCGGUGAAAUGCGUAGAUAUCUGGAGGAAUACGGUGGCGAAGGCGGCGAUCCUGGACCGACAUUGACGGCUGAUGAGCGAAAGGCUAGGGGAGCAAACGGGG
rnacentral:rRNA from 1 species